rnacentral:ncRNA from 1 species
UAGUCUGCCAUACGCAGGAAGACCCGCUGAACUGAAGCAUCUCAUUAAGCGGAGGAAAAGAAACUAACUAGGAUUCCCUUAGUAAAGGCGAUCGAAAAGGGAACAGCCCAACGUCUUAAUCCCGCAAGGGAAAUGUAGUCGGUUCACCUAUUGCACUGGUCUAAGUCAGAUGGAAUGCUGCGCGAUUCAGAGUAAAAGCCUCGUAUGACCAACCGCAAGCUUACGAUGGACCGGGGAGAGUCGGAUACUUUGAGAGUAGUGUCUUAAGGGGGUGGUAUGUCCCAUCCAAGGCUAAAUAACGUGAGGAGACCGAUAGAUUACAAGUAGUGUGAACGAAAGAUGAAAAGAACUCUAAAACAGAGGGUGAAAAGUUCCUGAACUUGCUUAGGGUUAAGGCUAUUUAUAGUACCCGUCUUGAAACACGGAUUAGGGAGUUUAUCUGUAGUGCGAGUCUUUGCACGUUAACUGUAAAGGCGUAGAGAAAGCAACUGGCGUUUGCAUGGCUACUGAGCAUUACUGAUAGGACCCGAAAGGUGGUGAACUUUGCCUGCACAGGUUGAAGUCAUGGGAAACUCUGAUGGAGGACCGUACGGGUUAUUGAUGUGCAAAUCAUUUUUUCUGAUGUAGGUAAAGGUGCG